CUGACGACGCCGGUUGACAGGCUACUUCUUUGGCAGCGUUGCAAUGCGGCGGCCGGAGGGAUGAGAAAGUUGCAUCGAUUGUGAGCAUCACAAUUCCCUGAAACGCGAGGACAGAUUACUCACAAUGGCAUAUGUUAGAGAGCCGAUAAUGAUCGUCAUGUAUCGUCCCAAGUGAGCAUCCGCAACGUACGCACCCAGCAGCGGAGUGAUGUUGUUCAAGCCAUUGAAGUUAGUCAGAGUCACAGCCGCCUGAACAUUGCUCAUGUUGAGCUGUUGCACGAGGCACAGAAGAACAGUUUGGAGUGAGCCAACGAGACAAGUGUUUACUGUUAUAUUUGUGCCUGAUCACGUGUUUUCUGCAGGGGCUUUGGGA